rnacentral:rRNA from 1 species
CGGAGGAUGCGAGCGUUAUCCGGAUUUAUUGGGUUUAAAGGGUGCGUAGGUUGUUUUUUAAGUCAGCGGUGAAAGUUUGUGGCUUAACCAUAAAAUUGCCGUUGAAACUGGGGAACUUGAGUGUGUUUGAGGUAGGCGGAAUGCGUGGUGUAGCGGUGAAAUGCAUAGAUAUCACGCAGAACUCCAAUUGCGAAGGCAGCUUACUAAACCAUAACUGACACUGAAGCACGAAAGCGUGGGGAUCAA